rfam:Oryza barthii chromosome 9, whole genome shotgun sequence.
CCCAUUGAUGAAGAGGAGCUGAUCCAGUAUAUAAUUACUGGGCUUGGAGAAGGAUACAGCGAGGUGGUUUCGGCUGUGUGUGCUAGGGUGGAACCGAUCACUGUGAGUGAUCUGUACUCCCAAGUGCUCAACUUCGAAG